ensembl:lncRNA
GUGAUUGGUCAGACUGACUGAGAGCCAGAGAGCAGUGAUUGGUCAGACCAUAGAUACUAUAGAAGACAGCGCGCUAGCGGAUCUAGUCUGCUCUAUGUAUCUAUGGUUAUCACGUCUGGUAGCAUCUCUGGCUGCUGUUGCCCUUGUUUUUGGAGUAAAACACGGUGGAAGCUGAAUUAGUGAGGAUGACUCCUGCUGCUGUCAUCUCUAAGCUCCUCACACAUCUUUACCUGCACAUGAGGAAAAUCACUCCUGUAGAAUGCAGAUGUUCAGAGGGAGAUGAUGCCACAUCUGGUCCAGCAGAUGGAAGGUCUUGAAGUUCUCUGACUGGCCUCGACUGAAGAUGGUCGUCUCACUGGAUUUAAGGUUCAGAUGCUCAGUAACAAACUCCACCAAUGAGCCAACAGGGAAGCUUUAGGUUUGUUAAAGGUCGCUAUGAAGGUUUCACUGUUUUUCUUUGUGAAUGCAAUGAGCUCCAACUGAAACUUGAAUUAGAACUUAGAAGUAAAUCCUUCCAUCUGAAAGUAUUUAGUUGCAUUA